AAAGCUCUUUUUUGUUUAAAAAGAUUUAUAUCUUAUAAAAACAUAAUAAACUAAGAAUAUUUAUUUCUUUUUAUUUGCAGUCAGACUUUGAGUGCUAAGAUUCAUAGUCAAAAGGGAUACAGCCCAGAUUAUAAGUUAAGGUGCUUAAAAAGUAUAUCCUAAGGUAACUCUAAAACUACGAUACUCAGAAGGUAGGCUUGGAAUCAGCCAUCCUUUAAAAAAUGCGUAACAGCAUACUGACUGAAUAUAGUUUUUAGUACUUUUAAUUCAAGGCUUAGAAUACUUGCCGAAACUAUAGACUUUUUUGAAGUGGUAGCAAAACGUUUUUA
rnacentral:rRNA from 1 species